AUUGAACGCUGGCGGCAGGCUUAACACAUGCAAGUCGAGCGGAGAUGAGGUGCUUGCACCUUAUCUUAGCGGCGGACGGGUGAGUAAUGCUUAGGAAUCUGCCUAUUAGUGGGGGACAACAUUCCGAAAGGAAUGCUAAUACCGCAUACGUCCUACGGGAGAAAGCAGGGGAUCUUCGGACCUUGCGCUAAUAGAUGAGCCUAAGUCGGAUUAGCUAGUUGGUGGGGUAAAGGCCUACCAAGGCGACGAUCUGUCGCGGGUCUGAGAGGAUGAUCCGCCACACUGGGACUGCGACACGGCCCAGACUACUACGGGCGGCAGCAGUGGGGAAUAUUGGACAAUGGGGGGAACGCUGAUCCAGCCAUGCCGCGUGUGUGAAGAAGGCCUUAUGGUUGUAAAGCACUUUAAGCGAGGAGGAGGCUACUGAGACUAAUACUCUUGGAUAGUGGACGUUACUCGCAGAAUAAGCACCGGCUAACUCUGUGCCAGCAGCCGCAGUAAGAC
rnacentral:rRNA from 1 species